AGCAGUAGCCGCGGGAAUACGGAGGAUCCAAGCGUUAUCCGGAAUCAUUGGGUUUAAAGGGUCCGUAGGCGGUCUUGUAAGUCAGUGGUGAAAGCCCAUCGCUCAACGGUGGAACGGCCAUUGAUACUGCAGGACUUGAAUUAUUGGGAAGUAACUAGAAUAUGUAGUGUAGCGGUGAAAUGCUUAGAGAUUACAUGGAAUACCAAUUGCGAAGGCAGGUUACUACCAAUUGAUUGACGCUGAUGGACGAAAGCGUGGGUAGCGAACAGGAUUAGAUACCCCAGUAGUCCCUGUCUCUUAUAC
rnacentral:rRNA from 1 species